CCGAGACAUCAUUCAGGUAACAUCACAAAGCCUCUAAGGGACUUUACAGGUGACAGAACAGAACCAGAGAGAGAUGCUUUAGGUUACAUCACAGAGCCACAGAGAGACGCUUCAGGUGUCAUCACAGAGACACAGAGAUACAAUUCAGGUAACAUCACAAAGCCUCUAAGAGACUUUACAGGUGACAUGACAGAACCAGAGAGAGAUCCUUCAGGUGACAUCACAGAGCCAAAGAGAGACGCUUCAGGUGUCAUCACAGAGCCACAGAGAGACACUACAGGUGAUAUCACAGAGCCAAAUAGAGAACCUUCAGGUGACAUCACAGAGACACAGAAACAUCAUUCUGUUGACAUCACAAAGCCACCAAGAGACAAUUCAGGUGACAACACAGAACCAUAGAGAGACCCUUCUGGUGACUUCACAGAGCCACAGAAAGACCCUAGAGUUGACAUCCCUUAGCCACAGAACCAUAGAGAGACGCUUCAGGUGACAUCACCGAACCACAGAGAUUCCUUUAAGGUGACAUCACAAAGCCACAGAGUGACCCUUCAGGUUUCAUCACAGCCACAGAGAGACACUUCAGGUCUCUUCACAGAGCCAAAGAGAGACCCUUCAGUUUUCAUCACAGAACCACAGAGAGACCCUUCAGGUGACAUCACAGAACCACAGAGAGACACUUCAGGUGUGAUCACAGAGCCACAGAGAGACCCUUCAUUUGACAUUCCUUAUCCACAGAGAGACACUUCACGUGACAUCAGAGAACCAACAAGACACUUCAGGAGUCAUCUCAGAGCCACAGAGAGACACUUCAUGUAUCAUCACAGAGCCAGAGAGACACUUCAGGUGACAUGACAGAGCCACAGAGACAACAUUCAUGUGACAUCACAGAACCAGAGACAGAUCCUUCUGGUGACAUCACAGAUCCACAGAGACCUCUUCUGGUGACAUCACAGAGCCACAGAGAGAUGCUUCAGGUGUCAUCACAGAGAAUCAGAGAAACAAUUCAGGUGACAUCACAGAGCCACAGCAAUACCAUUCUUGUGACAUCACAGAACCAGAGACAGAUCCUUCUGGUGACAUCACAGAGCCACAGAGACAUCUUCUGGUGACAUCACAGAGCCACAGAGACAUCAUUCAGGUAACAUCACAAAGCCUCUAAGGGACUUUACAGGUGACAGAACAGAACCAGAGAGAGAUGCUUUAGGUGACAUCACAGAGCCACAGAGAGACGCUUCAGGUGUCAUCACAGAGCCACAGAGAUGCAAUUCAGGUGACAUCACAGAGCCACAGAGAGACACUUCAGGUGUCAUCACAGAGCCACAGAGAGACCCUUCAGGUGUCAUCACAGAGCCACAGAGAGAUACUUCAGGGGAUAUCACAGAGCCAUAGAGAGACUUUCAUGUGACCUCACAUAGAAACAGAGAUGCUUCAGGUGACAUCACAGAGCCACAGAGAGACCCUUCAGGUGACAUCACAGAGCCACAAGCGACACUUCAGGUGUCAUCACAGAGCCAUAGAGACCCCUUCAUGUGUCAUCACAGAGCCACAGAGUGACCAUUCAUAUGACACCAGAGAUACACAGAGAGACCAUUCAGGUGACAUCAAUGAGCCACAGAGAGACCCUUCAGGUGUCACCACAGAGCCACAGAGAGACACUUAAGGUGACAACAGAGAGCCACAGGAGACACUUCAGGUGACAACACAGAGCAACACAGAGACACUUCAUGUGUCAUCACAGAGCCACAGAGAGACCCUUCAGGUGACAACACAGAGCCACAUAGAAACACUUCAGGUGGCUUCACAGAGCCACAGAGAGACGCUUCAGGUGUCAUCACAGAGCCACAGAGAGGCACUACAGGUGAUAUCACAGAGCCACAUAGAGAACCUUCAGGUGACAUUACAGAGCCACAGAGACACACUUCCUGUGACAUCACAGAGACACAGAGACCAAUUCAGGUGACAUCAAAGAGCCACAGAGACAUCAUUCUGUUGACAUCACAAAGCGACCAAGAUACCAUUCAGGUGACAUCACAGAACCAUAGAGAGACCCUUCUGGUGACUUCACAGAGCCACAGAGAGACCCAACAGUUGACAACCCUUAGCCACAGAGAGACGCUUCAGGUGACAUCACAGAACAACAGAGAUUCCUUUCAGGUGACAUCACAGAGCCACAGAGAGACCCUUCAGUUGACUUCACAGAGCCCCAGAGAGACCCUUCAGGUGUCUUCACACAGCCACAGAGACACUUCAGGUGAUAUCACAGAGCCACAGAGAGACCCUUCUGGUGUCACCACAAAGAUGCAGAGACAUCUUCAGGUGACAUCACAGAACAACAGUGAUACCAUGCAGAUGACAUAACAAUGCCUCCAAGAGACCCUUCAGGUGAAUUCACAGAACAAGAGAGUGAACGUUCUGGUGACAUCACUUAGCGACAGAGCGAUGCGUUAGGUGACAUCACAGAGUCACAGAGACACUUCAGGUGUCAUCACAGAGCCACAGAGAGACACUUAAGGUGACAACACAGAGCCACAGGAGAGACUUCAGGUGACAACACAGAGCAACACAGAGACACUUCAUGUGUCAUCACAGAGCCACAGAGAGACACUUCAGGUGACAACACAGAGCCACAUAGAAACACUUCAGGUGGCUUCACAGAGCCACAGAAGACGCUUCAGGUGUCAUCACAGAGCCACAGAGAGGCACUACAGGUGAUAUCACAGAGCCACAUAGAGAACCUUCAGGUGACAUCACAGAGCCACAGAGACACACUUCCUGUGACAUCACAGAGACACAGAGACCGAUUCAGGUGACAUCAAAGAGCCAAAGAGACAUCAUUCUGUUGACAUCACAAAGCGACCAAGAGACCAUUCAGGUGACAUCACAGAACCAUAGAGAGACCCUUCUGGUGACUUCACAGAGCCACAGAGAGACCCGACACUUGACAACCCUUAGCCACAGAGAGACGCUUCAGGUGACAUCACAGAACAACAAGAAUUCCUUUCAGGUGACAUCACAGAGCCACAGAGAGACCCUUCAGUUGACUUCAAAGAGCCACAGAGAGACCCUUCAUGUGUCUUCACACAGCCACAGAGACACUUCAGGUGACAUCACAGAGCCACAGAGAGACCCUUCUGGUUUCACCACAAAGAUGCAGAGACCCCUUCAGGUGACGUCACAGAACAACAGAGAUACCAUUCAGAUGACAUCACAAAGCCUCCAAGAGACCCUUCAGGUUACAUCACAGAACAAGAGAGUGACCAUUCUGGUGACAUCACUUAGCCACAGAGAGACGCUUCAGGUGACAUCACAGAGACACAGAGACACUUCAGGUGUCAUCACAGAGCCACAGAGAGACGCUUCAGGUGAGAUCACAGAUCAACACAGAGAGAAUUCAGGUGAUAUCACAGAACCACAGAGAUUCCUUUCAGGUGACAACACAGAGCCACAGAGAGACCCUUCAGAUUUCAUCAAUGCCACAGAGAGACACUUCAUGUCUCUUCACAGAGCCAAAGAGAGACCCUUCAGUUGUCAUAACAGAACCCCAGAGAGACACUUCAGGUGACAUCACAGAACCACAGAGAAACACUUCAGGUGUCAUCACAGAGCCACAGAGAGAAUCUUCAUUUGACAUCCCUUAUCCACAGAGUGACACAUCAGGUGACAUCAGAGAACCAACAGAGACACUUCAGGAGUGAUCUUAGAGCCACAGAGAGACACUUCAGGUGUCAUCACAGAGCCAGAGAGACACUUAAGGUGACAUAACAGAGUCACAGAGAUACCAUUCAUGUGACAUCACAGAACCAGAGACAGAUCCUUCUGGUGACAUCACAGAGCCUCAGAGACCUCUUCUGGUGACAUCACAGAGCCACAGAGAGACGCUUCAGGUGUCAACACAGAGACACAGGAUUAAAAUUCAGGUGACAUCACAGAACAACAGAGAGACACUUCAGGUGAUAUCACAGAGCCAUAGAGAGAGUUUCAGGUGACAUCACAGAGCCACAGAGAGACACUGCAGGUAACAAAACAGAGCCACAGAAAUACCAUUCUUGUGACAUCACAGAACCAGAGACAGAUCCUUCUGGUGACAUCACAGAGCAACAGAGAGACGCUUCAGGUGUCAUCAAAGAGACACAGAGAUACGAUUCAGGUGACAUUACAGAGCCACAGAGACACUUCAGGUGAUAUCACAGAGCCAUAGAGAGAUUUUCAGGUGACAUCACAGAGCCACAGAGAGACACUGCAGGUAACAAAACAGAGCCACAGAAAUACCAUUCUUGUGACAUCACAGAACCAGAGACAGAUCCUUCUGGUGACAUCACAGAGCAACAGAGAGACGCUUCAGGUGUCAUCAAAGAGACACAGAGAUACAAUUCAGGUGACAUUACAGAGCCACAGAGACACUUCAGCUGACUUCACAGAGCCACAGAGAGAUACUUCAGGUGACAUAACAGAGCCACAGAAAUACCAUUCUUGUGACAUCACAGAACCAGAGACAGAUCCUUCUGUUGACAUCACAUAGCCACAGAGAGACACUUCAGGUGAAAUAACAGAGCCACAGAAAUACCAUUCUUGUGACAUCACAGAACCAGAGACAGAUCCUUCUGUUGACAUCACAGAGCCACAGAGACUUCAUUCAGGUAACAUCACAAAGCCUCUAAGAGACUUUACAGGUGACAUAACAGAACCAGAGAGAGAUCCUUCAGGUGACAUCACAGAGCCACAGAGAGACGCUUCAGGUGUCAUCACAGAACCACAGAGAUACAACUCAGGUGACAUCACAGAGCCACAGAGAGACACUUCAGGUGUCAUCACCGAGCCACAGAGAGACACUUCAUGUGACAUAACAAGCCACAGAAAGACCAUUCAGGUGACAUCAAACACCAGAGAGAGAUCCUUCAGGUGACAUCACAGAGCCACAGAGACCUCUUCUGGUGACAUCACAGAGCCACAGAGACACCAUUCAGGUGACAUCACAAAGCUACAGAGAGACCGAUCAGGUGUCAUCACAAAAUCACAGAGAAAGAAUUCAGUUGACAUCACAGAGCCACAGAGAGACCCUUCAGGUGACAUCACAGAGCCACAGAGCGACACUUCAGGUAUCAUCACAGAGCCAUAGAGACCCCUUCAGGUGUCAUCACAGAGCCAAAGAGUGACCAUUCAUGUGACACCAGAGAUACACAGACAGACCAUUCAGGUGACAUCAAAGAGCCACAGAGAGACCAUUCAGGUGUCAUCACAGAGCCACAGAGAGACCUUUCAAGUGUCAUCACAGAGCCACAGUGUGACCCUUCAGGUGCCAUCACAAAGACACUAAGAGAUCCUUAGGUGACAUCGCAGAGCCACAUUGACACACUUCAGGUGACUUCACAGAGCCUCAGAGAGACUCUUCAGGUGACAACACAGAGCAACAGAGAGAACCUUCAGGAUUCAUCACAGCCACAGAGAGACACUUCAGGUGGUUUCACAGAGCCACAGAGAGAUCCUUCAGUUGUCAUCACAGAACCCCAGAGAGACGCUUCAGGUCCCAUCACAGAACCACAGAGAGACACUUCAUGUGUAAUCACAGAGCCACAGAGAGACCCUUCAUUUGACAUCCAUUAUCCACAGAGAAACACUUCAGGUGACAUCAGAGAACCAACAGAGACACUUCAGGAGUCAUCUCAGAGCCACAGAGACACACUUCAGGUGUCAUCACAGAGCCAGCGAGACACUUCAGGUGACAUGACAGAGCCACAGAGAUACCAUUCAUGUGACAUCACAGAACCAGAGACAGAUCCUUCUGGUGACAUCACAGAGCCACAGAGACCUCUUCUGGUGACAUCACAGAGCCACAGAGAGACGCUUCAGGUGUCAUCAAAGAGACACAGAGAUACUAUUCAGGUGACAUCACAGAGCCACAAAGAGACACUUCAGGUGAUAUCACAGAGCCAUAGAGAGACUUUCAGGUGACAUCACAGAGCCACAGAGAGACACUUCAGGUGACAAAACAGAUCCACAGAAAUACCAUUCUUGUGACAUCACAGAACCAGAGACAGAUCCUUCUGGUGACAUCACAGAGCCACAGAGAGACACUUCAGGUGUCAUCACAGAGACACAGAGAUACAAUUCAGGUGACAUCACAGAGCCACAGAGAGACACUUCAGGUGAUAUCACAGAGCCAUAGAGAGAAUUUCAGGUGACAUCACAGAGCCACCGAGAGACAAUUCAAUAACAUAACAGAGCCACAGAAAUACCAUUCAUGUGACAUCACAGAACCAGAGACAGAUCCUUCUGGUGACAUCACAGAGCCACAGAGACAUCUUCUGGUGACAUCACAGAGCCACAGAGACAUCAUUCAGGUAACAUCACAAAGCCUCUAAGAGACUUUACAGGUGACAUAACAGAACAAGGGAGAGAUCCUUCAGGUGACAUCACAGACCCCAGAUAGAUGCUUCAGGUGUCAUCACAGAGCUACAGAGAUGCAAUUCAGGUGAAUCACAGAGCCACAGAGAGACACUUCAGGUGUCAUCACAGAGCCACAGAGAGACCUUUCAGGUGUCAUCACAGAGCCACAGUGUGAACCUUCAGGUGCCAUCACAAAGCCACUAAGAGACCCUUCAGUUGACAUCACAGAGCCACAUUGAGACACUUCAGCUGACUUCACAGAGCCUCAGAGAGACUCUUCAGGUGUCAUCACAGAGCCACAGAGAGACACUACAAUUGACAUUAAUGAGCCACAGAGAGAUGCUUCAAGUGACAUCACAGAGCCACAGUGAGACAAUUCAGGAGACACCACAGAGCAACAGAGUUACCCUUCAAGUGACAUCACAGAGCCACAAAGUGACACUUUUUGUGACAUCACAGAACCAGAGACAGAUCCUUCUGUUGACAUCACAGAGCCACAGAGACUUCAUUCAGGUAACAUCACAAAGCCUCUAAGAGACUUUACAGGUGACAUAACAGAACAAGGGAGAGAUCCUUCAGGUGACAUCACAGACCCCAGAUAGAUGCUUCAGGUGUCAUCACAGAGCUACAGAGAUGCAAUUCAGGUGAAUCACAGAGCCACAGAGAGACACUUCAGGUGUCAUCACAGAGCCACAGAGAGACCUUUCAGGUGUCAUCACAGAGCCACAGUGUGAACCUUCAGGUGCCAUCACAAAGCCACUAAGAGACCCUUCAGUUGACAUCACAGAGCCACAUUGAGACACUUCAGCUGACUUCACAGAGCCUCAGAGAGACUCUUCAGGUGUCAUCACAGAGCCACAGAGAGACACUACAAUUGACAUUAAUGAGCCACAGAGAGAUGCUUCAAGUGACAUCACAGAGCCACAGUGAGACAAUUCAGGAGACACCACAGAGCAACAGAGUUACCCUUCAAGUGACAUCACAGAGCCACAAAGUGACACUUUUUGUGACAUCACAGAACCAGAGAGAGAUCCUUUGGUGAUAUCACAGAGCAACAGAGACCGCAUCUGGUGACAUUACAGAGCCACAGAUACACCAUUACGUGACAUCACAAAGCCAUUAAGAGACAGUUCAGGUGGCAUCACAGAGCCACAGAGAGACCCUUCAGUUGACUUCACAGAGCCACAAAGCAACCCUUCAGGUGUCUUCACACAGCCACAGAGACACUUCAGGUGCCAUCACAGAGCCACAGAGAGACCCUUCUGGUGUCACCACAAAGAUGCAGAGACCCCUUCAGGUAACAUCACAGAACAACAGAGAUACCAUUCAGAUGACAUCACAAAGCCUCCAAGAGACCCUUCAGGUGACAUCACAGAGACACAGAGACACAUCAGGUGUCAUCACAGAGCCACAGAGAGACGCUUCAGGUGAGAUCACAGAUCAACACAGAGACAUUUCAGGUGACAUCACAGAACCACAGAGAUUCCUUUCAGGUGACAUCACAGAGCCACAGAGAGACACUUCAGGUGAUAUCACAGAGCCAUAGAGAUACUUUCAGGUGACAUCACAGAGCCACAGAAAUACCAUUCUUGUGACAUCACAGAACCAGAGGCAGAUCCUUCUGGUGACAUCACAGAGCCACAGAGACCCCUUCUGGUAACAUCACAGAGCCUCAGAGACAUCAUUCAGGUAACAUCACAAAGCUUCUAAGGGACUUUACAGGUGACAUAGCAGAUCCAGAGAGAGAUCCUUCAGGUGACAUCACAGACCCACAGAGAGACACUUCAGGGGUCAUCACAGAGCCACAGAGAGACACUUCAGGUGACAUAACAGAGCCACAGAAAUACCAUUCAGGUGACAUCAAAGCACCAGAGAGAGAUCCUUCUGGUGACAUCACAGAGCCACAGAGACCUCAUCUGGUGACAUCACAGAGCCACAGAGACACCAUUCAGGUGACAUCACAAAGCCACAGAGAGACCGAUCAGGUGUCAUCACAGAGCCACAUAGAAACACUUCAGGUGGCUUCACAGAGCCAAGAGAGACCCUUCAGGUGACAACACAGAGCCACAGAGAGACACUACAGGUGAUAUUACAGAGCCACAUAGAGAACCUUCAGGUGACAUCACAGAGCCACAGAGACACGCUUCCUGUGACAUCACAGAGACACAGAGACCCCUUCUGGUGACAUCACAGAGCCACAGAGACAUCAUUCAUUUAACAUCACAAAGCCUCUAAGAGACUUUACAGGUGACAUAACAGAACAAGGGAGAGAUCCUUCAGGUGACAUCACAGACCCCAUAUAGAUGCUUCAGGUGUCAUCACAGAGCCACAGAGAUGUAAUUCAGGUGAAUCACAGAGCCACAGAGAGACACUUCAGGUGUCAUCACAGAGCCACAGAGA
rnacentral:lncRNA from 1 species